rnacentral:sRNA from 1 species
GCCGGGCGUGGUGGCGGGCGCCUGUAGUCCCAGCUACUCGGAGGCUGAGGCAGGAGAAUGGCGUGAACCCGGGAAGCGGAGCUUGCAGUGAGCUGAGAUCCGGCCACUGCACUCCAGCCUGGGUGACAGAGCCAGACUCCGUCUCAA